rnacentral:rRNA from 1 species
UACGGGGGGAGCAAGCGUUGUUCGGAUUUACUGGGCGUAAAGGGCGCGUAGGCGGCCAGCACAAGUCAGUUGUGAAAUCUCCGGGCUUAACCCGGAAAGGUCAACUGAUACUGUGCGGCUAGAGUGCAGAAGGGGCAACUGGAAUUCUUGGUGUAGCGGUGAAAUGCGUAGAUAUCAAGAGGAACACCUGCGGCGAAGGCGGGUUGCUGGGCUGACACUGACGCUGAAGUGCGAAAGCCAGGGGAGCGAACGGG